rnacentral:rRNA from 1 species
UACAGAGGGUGCGAGCGUUGUUCGGAAUCAUUGGGCGUAAAGCGCGUGUAGGCGGCUCGGUAAGUCUGCUGUGAAAGUCCAGGGCUCAACCCUGGGAUGCCGGUGGAUACUGUCGAGCUCGAGUCCGGAAGAGGCGAGUGGAAUUCCUGGUGUAGCGGUGAAAUGCGUAGAUAUCGGGAGGAACACCAGUGGCGAAGGCGAUCAUCUGGGGUUGUUCUGACGCUGAGGAGCGAAAGCUAGGGGAGCAAACGGG